GACGAACGCUGGCGGCGUGCUUAACACAUGCAAGUCGAACGGAAAGGCCCUGCUUUUGUGGGGUGCUCGAGUGGCGAACGGGUGAGUAACACGUGAGUAACCUGCCCUUGACUUUGGGAUAACUUCAGGAAACUGGGGCUAAUACCGGAUAGGAGCUCCUGCUGCAUGGUGGGGGUUGGAAAGUUUCGGCGGUUGGGGAUGGACUCGCGGCUUAUCAGCUUGUUGGUGGGGUAGUGGCUUACCAAGGCUUUGACGGGUAGCCGGCCUGGGAGGGUGACCGGCCACAUUGGGACUGGGAUACGGCCCGGACUCCUACGGGAGGCAGCAGUGGGGAAUAUUGCACACUGGGCGGAGGCCUGAUGCAGCAACGCCGGGUGCGGGAGGACGGCCUUCGGGUUGGAAACCGCUUUCGCCUGUGACGAAGCGUGAUGGACGGUAAUGGGUAAAGAAGCACCGGCUAACUACGU
rnacentral:rRNA from 1 species